rnacentral:tRNA from 1 species
UGGUUAGAGCAUCUGACUGUUAAUCAGAGGGUCCUUGGUUCGAGUCCAAGAAGGGGAG